rnacentral:rRNA from 1 species
GACGAACGCUGGCGGCGUGCUUAACACAUGCAAGUCGAACGGUGAAGCCGGAGCUUGCUCUGGUGAAUUAGUGGCGAACGGGUGAGUAACACGUGAGUAACCUGCCCUUGACUCUGGGAUAACUGCUAGAAAUGGUAGCUAAUACCGGAUACGACCCUCGGAGGCAUCUCCAGGGGGUGGAAAGAAUUUCGGUCAAGGAUGGCCUCGCGGCCUAUCAGCUAGUUGGUGAGGUAACGGCUCACCAAGGCGACGACGGGUAGCCGGCCUGAGAGGGUGACCGGCCACACUGGGACUGAGACACGGCCCAGACUCCUACGGGAGGCAGCAGUGGGGAAUAUUGCACAAUGGGCGCAAGCCUGAUGCAGCAACGCCGCGUGAGGGAUGACGGCCUUCGGGUUGUAAACCUCUUUUAGUAGGGAAGAAGCGAAAGUGACGGUACCUGCAGAAAAAGCACCGGCUAACUACGUGCCAGCAGCCGCCGCAG